rnacentral:rRNA from 1 species
ACGCAUGCAAGUCGAACGGGGCCUUUUGGAGCAAUCUAGAGGUUCUAGUGGCAAACGGGUGAGUAACACGUAGGGAUCUACCUUGAAGUGGGGAAUAACGAGCCGAAAGGUUCGCUAAUACCGCAUGAGCUGGAUCGCAAGAUUCAGGAAAGGUUCCGUAAGGAAUCGCUUUAAGAGGAGCCUGCGGCCGAUCAGGUAGUUGGUGAGGUAACGGCUCACCAAGCCGACGACCGGUAGCUGAUCUGAGAGGAUGACCAGCCACACUGGCACUGAGAGACGGGCCAGACUCCUACGGGAGGCAGCAGCGAGGAAUAUUGCACAAUGGAGGAAACUCUGAUGCAGUAACGCCGCGUGAGGGAGGAAGACCUUCGGGUUGUAAACCUCUUUUGAGAGAGACGAGCGAGGACGGUAUCUCUAGAAUCAGUCUCGGCUAACUACGUGCCAGCAGCCGCGGUAAGACGUAGGAGGCGAGCGUUAUCCGGAUUCACUGGGCGUAAAGCGCAUGUAGGCGGUUGCACAAGUCCGUUGUUAAGGCCCCUGGCUCAACUGGGGGAGGUCAAUGGAGACUGUGCGACUUGAGGGCAGUAGAGGCACGUGGAACUCCCGGUGUAGCGGUGGAAUGCGUAGAGAUCGGGAAGAACACCAGUGGCGAAGGCGACGUGCUGGGCUGCAUCUGACGCUGAGAUGCGAAAGU